rnacentral:lncRNA from 1 species
GCCCUGCCAGCCACUGUUCUAAGCACUUUUUCCCUGUUCCUGCCGAUUUGUUCCUCACAACAACCAUUGGAAGUGGAGACUAUGAUUAUCCCCGUUGCACAGUAAGGAAACUGAGGCAAAGGGAGGUUAGGUAACUUGGCGAUGUCUCCCGGCUAGGGAUAGCAGAAUGGGACAGAAACGCAGGCCACCCGGCCUGGCGCGGUGGCUCACGCCUUUAAUCCCAGCACUCAGGGAGGCCGAGGCGGGCGGGUUACCUGGGGUCAGGAGUUCGAGACCAGCCUGCCAACAUGGUGAAACCCUAUCUCUACUAAAAAUACAAAAAUUAGUCGUGGUGGGCACCUGUAAUCCCAGCUACUCAGGAGGCUGAAGCAGAAGAAUCGCUUGAACCCAGGAGGCAGAGGUGGCAGUGAGCCGAGAUCACCCCACUGCACUUCAGCCUGGGUGGCAGAACGAGACUCUGUCUCAAAAAAAAGAAAGGCAGGCCACCCGGUGGUGGUCCCUGUGCUCCUCCCCACCCCCGCACUGUACUGGGCGAUGAGGAGGCGGCUGGCCCUGGAGGUGGGGGUAUGGAGUGGGGCACAUCAGAGAUUUCAAAUUGACCAAGGUCUGUUUUGUGUCAGUUUGUCAGUUUUAUGUGUCAGCUUGGCUAAACUAUGGUCUCCUGUUAUUUGAUCAAACACUAAUCUAUUUUUUCUUUUAGUUUAAAAAAAAAUAAUUAAAUGAACAAACCCUGGCUAAUGUAUUUUUUUGUAGAGACAGGGUUUUGCCACGUUGCCCAGGCUGGCCUCUGACCCUUGGGCUCAAGUGAUCUGCCACCAUGCCUAGCUAGCCUCAAACACUAAUCUAGAUGUUGCUUGAAGGCAUUUUGUAGAUGUGAUUUGUCUAUAAUUAGUUUACUUCAAGUAAGGGAGAUUAUCCCAGAUAAUCUGGGUGAGUCUGAAAGACAUUAUGGGUAGAACUGAGGUGCCCUUGAAGAGGAAGAAAUUCUGCCAGCCAAUAGCAAUUUCAGCUUGUGCUGAAGAGUUCCAUCCUUCCUAACAACCAGCCCUACAAAUUUCGGACUUGCCUAGCCAGCCCUGUGCGUAUAAACUAAUUCCUUGCAAUAAUCACACCUACACCCUCACCCCACCCCCCUCCCCAAAUAUAUGUAUAUAUGGAGAGAGAGGGAGAGAGAAUAUAAAAUCAUACAUAUAUCAUAUAUCUCCUAUUGGUUCUGUGUCUUUAAUUUCUCUAGUUGACCCCUGACUGAUGCAAUGACCCAAGAGCAGGCAGAUGCCCAGGGGGCGUUUAUGACACCUCUCCUAGGACUUGGCUCAAUCCGAGUCCCUUGUGAGUCCCUCAACGGCCAUCUGCAACCCUGAGGAGGGUAGCAAAAUCCCAGAUUGACUGAGAUUACAUUUCCAUCAUCAACAGCAAUGGAGAAUCAAUAAAGAAAUUUAGUUCAGAUAUUGAAAAAUGAAGAUGGCUGGACGCGGUGGCUCACACCUGUAAUCCCAGCACUUUGGGAGGCCGAGGCGGGUGGAUCACCUGAGGUCGGGAGUUUGAGACCGGCCUGGCCAACAUGGUGAAAACUCAUCUCUACUAAAAAUACAAAAAUUGGUUGUGGUGGGUGCCUGUAAUCCCAGCUACUCGGGAGGCUGAGGCAGGAGAAUCGUUUGAACCCAUUAGGCAGAGGUGGCAGUGAGCCGAGAUCACCCCAUUGCACUUCAGCCUGGGUGACAGAACAAGACUCUGUCUCAAGGAAAAAAAAAAAAAGAAGAAAGUCACAGUUUUUGCUCUAUCAAGUUUAUGUGCUAAGAUUCAUACCUCAUUUUAACAGCCUACAUCUACUUCUGCGUGCACCAGAAGGACAGAGGCACAAUAACACUGACCACACCAUAGGAAUAGCAGCAAUAGUUGCUACAAAACAUUUGCAAAUAAUCAGAUAAUAUAUCUGAUUAGGUCCUUGUAUCCCUAAUACAUAAAAAGCUCUUACUGCAACAACAAGUAGAAAAAAGAUCAAUUUAAAAAUGGGCAAAGGCAGGCUGGGCACAGUGGCUCACACCUGUCAUCCCAGCACUUAGGGAGUCUGAGGCAGGUACAUCACCUGAGGUCAGGAGUUUGAGACCAGCCUGGCCAACAUGGCGAAACUCCGUCUCUACUAAAAAUACAAAAUUGAGCCAGGCUUGGUGGUGGGAGCCUGUAAUCUCAGCUACUUGGGAACUAAGGCAGGAGAAUCGCUUGAACCCAGGAGAUGGAGGUUGCAGUGAGCUGAGAUCUCGCCAAUGCACUCCAGCCUGGGUGACACGAGUGAGACUCCGUCUCAAAAUAAAAUAAAAUAAAAUGGCAAAGGACUUGAAUAUCCAAAGAAGAUAAACAAACAGCCAAUAAGCAAACAAUACCUUCAAGCACAAAAGAUGCUCAACAUAAUUAGUCAUCAAGGAAAAGGCAAAUCAGAACCACAGGGGACUCACUUCACAUCCACUAGGAUGGCUAUAGUCCUUACAGUAAGAGAAUACCAGCGGGCAGGUAUUGUGCUUUACUUGUAUUAUGUAACUUAAUCCUCACGGUAGCCUCGUGAAGGAGGGAUGGCUAUAAGUUCAUUUACAAAAGAGGAACUGAGGCCUGGAAAGGUGAAAUGAUUGCCCCAGUGUUCCAUGGCUGGUCAGUGGGUGUCAGAAUUUAAGACCUGGGCUGUCUGAUUUCAAAGCUGUGCUAUAUAGCUUUAAUGACUGUGCUAUACUGGUCUCUAGCAAAAUUAUUGAAAAUUUCCCUCUCAGACCCACCAUUUACCUUUAUUGCUCCCAGGGACCCUCACAUGUGCUCCUUAGCUACCAAAAACAGACUUCUUCUUUCUCCUGGUAUUUGUCCCAUGUCCUUUGGUCAGCCCAGAACUCACUAGGAGGCUCCCAGAUGCUGUGUCCGUGUUUCUCCUCCAGACUGACGGCGCUGUUUGUGUCACUGCCUCAGGGCCACGUCACUGCUGCUGCCCCACUGGACUCCCCCGGUCCUAGCCACCAGCCACUCCCCUCCUUUCUCCUGGCUAGCAAGGUUUACUGACUACCAUAGAGGUGGAAAAUGCCAGACGCUCAGUUUCCCAGGUUCCCUUUACAGUUACAGGUGGCCAUGUGACCGUGUUCCGGUCAACGUCAUAUAAGGAGAGUCUUCUGAGAAAUAUUUUCUCUCCUGGCCAGAAUAAAGAGAGAGAGAGGGUGAGGUAGAUGGAAAGAGUGGGAAGCUGGGCGCAGUGGUUCACACCUGUAAUCCCAACACUUUGGGAGGCCGAGGCGGGUGGAUGACCUGAGGUCAGGAGUUCGAGACCAGCCUGCCCACAUGAUGAAACCCUGUCUCUACUAAAAAUACAAAAAUUAGCUGGGUGUGGUGGUGCGGGCCUGUAAUCCCAGCUAUUUGGGAGGCUGAGGCACGUGAAUCACUUGAACCCAGGAGGCGGAGAUUGCAGUGUGCCGAUCAUGCCACUGCACUCCAGCCUGGGCAACAGAGUGAGACUCCACCUUGAAAAAAAAUACACACACACACACACAAAAACAAAAACAAAAACAAAAACAAACAAACAAAAAAAACCGUGGGAGAGAGGGUAAGAGU